rnacentral:rRNA from 1 species
AACGGCCAUACCAUGCUGAAUAUACCGGUUCUCGUUAGAUAUCACCCAAGUCAAGCAUCAUUGGGCGUGGUCAGUACUUGAGUGGGUGACCACCUGGGAACAACGCGUGCCGUU